UACGAAGGGGGCUAGCGUUGCUCGGAAUCACUGGGCGUAAAGGGUGCGUAGGCGGGUCUUUAAGUCAGGGGUGAAAUCCUGGAGCUCAACUCCAGAACUGCCUUUGAUACUGAAGAUCUUGAGUUCGGGAGAGGUGAGUGGAACUGCGAGUGUAGAGGUGAAAUUCGUAGAUAUCUGGAGGAACACCGGUGGCGAAGGCGGCGUCCUGGACCAACACUGACACUGAGGCACGAAGGUCAGGGGAGCAAACGGG
rnacentral:rRNA from 1 species